UGCAAAGAACUUUGAAGAGAGAGUUCAAGAGAACGUGAAAUCGCUGGAGUGGAACCGGAGAGAGUUGACGUAGUCGGGUAGCUAGGUUUUCCUAGGUCGCUUAAUUGUGACUGCGGGAGAUGUAUGCUGCCUAUGGCUGCGCUGACAGCGUUGGUGGUGCGUCCCGAACCGAUUGCGUUGCCCACGCGUUUGCGUGGUGUCUUGUCUUCGGCUAGGUUUGUCCCUGCUAGCGUUUUAUCCUGCUUGCAGGAUGUCAGUGUGAAAGUCGACCACCUCUCCGACCCGUCUUGAAACACGGACCGAGGAGUGUAACUUGUACGCGAGUCAAAGGGUGGAAAACCCCAAGGCGAAAUGAAAGUAAAGGCCGGUUAACCGGCUGACAUGGGAUCCGCUUUUCGAGGCGGCGCACCAUGGCCCUGUCUUGUCUGCUUGCAGAUGGGCAGCGGUAGAGCGUACUGGUUGCGACCCGAAAGAUGGUGAACUAUGCCUGAGCAGGACGAAGUCAGAGGAAACUCUGGUGGAAGUCCGUAUCGGUUCUGACGUGCAAAUCGAUCGAUAGACUUGGGUAUAGGGGCGAAAGACUAAUCGAACCAUC
rnacentral:rRNA from 1 species